rnacentral:rRNA from 1 species
AAAAACUCCGGUGGUAUGGGAUGGAUCCGCGUCUGAUUAGCUGGUUGGUGAGGUAACGGCCCACCAAGGCGACGAUCAGUAGCCGACCUGAGAGGGUGGCCGGCCACAUUGGGACUGAGACACGGCCCAAACUCCUACGGGAGGCAGCAGUGGGGAAUAUUGCACAAUGGGGGAAACCCUGAUGCAGCAACGCCGCGUGAGUGAAGAAGUAUUUCGGUAUGUAAAGCUCUAUCAGCAGGGAAGAAGAAAGACGGUACCUGACUAAGAAGCCCCGGCUAACUACGUGCCAGCAGCCGCGGUAAUACGUAGGGGGCAAGCGUUAUCCGGAUUUACUGGGUGUAAAGGGAGCGUAGACGGCUGUGCAAGUCUGAAGUGAAAGCCCGUGGCUCAACCGCGGAACUGCUUUGGAAACUGUAUAGCUUGAGUACUGGAGAGGCAGGCGGAAUUCCUAGUGUAGCGGUGAAAUGCGUAGAUAUUAGGAGGAACACCAGUGGCGAAGGCGGCCUGCUGGACAGAAACUGACGUUGAGGCUCGAAAGCGUGGGGAGCAAACAGGAUUAGAUACCCUGGUAGUCCACGCGGUAAACGAUGAAUGCUAGGUGUUGGGGAGCAAAGCUCUUCG